rnacentral:tRNA from 1 species
CGGAGUAUAGCGCAGCCUGGAUUAGCGCAUCUGUUUUGGGUACAGAGGGUCGGGGGUUCAAAUCCCUCUACUCCGACCA